CUCUUCUUCAUUCCAAUGGCUGCCCUCUCUUCUUCUUCUCAAAUUUUGCUUGAUUUGAAGUUUAUGAGUUAGAUGGUGAGGGUUUGGCUUGAGGCAUGGAAUUGGCGUAGAAGUAACACUCUCGCAGGCUAUACUCGCCUAAGUUGCCUUACGGCACCCCGAGGGUUGAGUGGCGGAGUGUUCCUCCUCGGGAUUGUGGCGGCAAUUGUUUCAUCCCGUGGGCCUGCGGGUCGGAGCAUGACAGAUAUCAUUUUAGAUGUGUUCGAUAUCAUUUUAGAUUUCGUAAUAGAUAAAUUAUAUGUGAUUAUGAUUAAUAUUUGACUCAAGCAUGUAAUAUAUGAGAAGUUUUACUUGGUAUAUGUUAAUGACUAUACAUUUUGUAU